UCUCAUCUCCUCCUCCCCUUCCAAAUCUUCACACAAAAAAUCCUAAUCCCAAAUCUCUCUCCUACAAAAAUGGCAUCCAUGGCUUCCACACUCGCCGCCUCCUCCCUCUCCACCAAGCUCCACAAGCCAUCUCUCCUCGACACCUCCUCCUCCUUCCACGGCGCUCCCCUCGCCCGCGUCCAGCCCCUCAAGGCCGCCUCCUCCUCCAACGGCCACGGCCUCUCCGUCUCCAUGUCCGCCUCCACCAACGCCUACGAUCUCUCCAACUUCAAGUUCGAGCCUAUCAAGGAGU
rnacentral:lncRNA from 1 species